rnacentral:rRNA from 1 species
AUACGGAGGGGGCUAACGUUGCUCGGAAUUACUGGGCGUAAAGCGCGCGUAGGCGGCUUAUCAAGUUAGGCGUGAAAGGCCUGGGCUCAACCCGGGAACUGCGCUUAAUACUGGUAGACUUGAGUCCGGGAGAGGGUGGCGGAAUUCCCAGUGUAGAGGUGAAAUUCGUAGAUAUUGGGAAGAACACCAGUGGCGAAGGCGGCCACCUGGCCCGGUACUGACGCUGAGGUGCGAAAGCGUGGGGAGCAAACAGGAUUAGAAACCCCAGUAGUCC